ACAACCACUGACCGCCGUAUGAGCUAAGGAGCUCAUCUCCGUGUUGAGCUAAGACGUCCCCAAGGUCUAACCUAUAUCUGAGCUGUUCAGCCAACUUAUCUCUUCGACAUGCGCGACAGCUGCCUAUCCUGAAUAAGAUAAUAUUUAACAUAAUCAUCUCUCCUGAUCUUGUGAGAGCAUUUAAAGGCUGAGUUAUCUCAUCCAAUUUGGUAUGUCCAACGAUCCGACAAUCUUGGGAUCGCACAAUCUCACAGCUAACAAUCUAGCUGUUUGACAUUCUUCUAUAUAAAUAACCAGAGCCCCGA
rnacentral:lncRNA from 1 species